CCCUUAGAUGUCCUGGGCUGCACGCGCGCUACACUGGAAGUUACGGAUUGAGAUACUACCUUGUCCGAAAUGGUCCGGGUAAUCACCUAAAAGCUUGACAUAAUUGGAAUGGAUUAUUGUAACUAGUAAUCCUGAACGAGGAAUUCCUAGUAAGUCCCAGUCAACAGCUGGUACUGAUUACGUCCCUGCCCUUUGUACACACCGCCCGUCGCUACUACUGAUUGGACGUUUAAGCAAGAUUUUUAAACACUGACAGUGUGUAGUUCACGCUAUACUACAGUGAGAAGAAGAAGAUCGAGCUUACUUGUCUAGAGGAAGUAAAAGUCGUAACA
rnacentral:rRNA from 1 species